rnacentral:rRNA from 1 species
UACGGAGGGUGCAAGCGUUGCUCGGAAUUAUUGGGCGUAAAGCGCACGCAGGCGGCAAGGUAAGUCAGUUGUGAAACUCCCGGGCUUAACUUGGGAACUGCAGCUGAUACUGCCUUGCUUGAGUACGGAAGAGGGGAGCGGAAUUCCCAGUGUAGAGGUGAAAUUCGUAGAUAUUGGGAGGAACACCGGUGGCGAAAGCGGCUCCCUGGUCCGAUACUGACGCUCAUGUGCGAAAGCGUGGGGAGCAAACAGGAUUAGAAACCCGCGUAGUCC